rnacentral:rRNA from 1 species
CGAACGAUGAUGGUGGUGCUUGCACCACCUGAUUAGUGGCGAACGGGUGAGUAACACGUGAGUAACCUGCCCCUCACUUCGGGAUAACCUCGGGAAAUCGUGGCUAAUACCGGAUAUGAACUUCUACCGCAUGGUGGUCGUUGGAAAGAUUUAUCGGUGAGGGAUGGCGCGGCCUAUCAGUUUGUUGGUGAGGUAAUGGCUCACCAAGACGAUGACGGGUAGCCGGCCUGAAGGGCGACCGGCCACACUGGGACUGAGACACGGCCCAGACUCCUACGGGAGGCAGCAGUGGGGAAUAUUGCACAAUGGGCGAAAGCCUGAUGCAGCGACGCCGCGUGGGGGAUGACGGCCUUCGGGUUGUAAACCUCUUUCAGUAGGGAAGAAGCGAAAGUGACGGUACCUGCAGAAGAAGCGCCGGCUAACUACGUGCCAGCAGCCGCGGUAAUACGUAGGGCGCAAGCGUUGUCCGGAAUUAUUGGGCGUAAAGAGCUCGUAGGUGGCUUGUCGCGUCUGCUGAAAACCCGAGGCUCAACCUCGGGCGUGCGGUGGGUACGGGCAGGCUAGAGUGUGGUAGGGGAGACUGGAACUCCUGGUGUAGCGGUGAAAUGCGCAGAUAUCAGGAAGA